AAAAUGGAGGUGCUUAAUGGUGAGUUUUUAAAUCUUGCUUUACAUAUCAUGGAAUAUUACUCUAUGUAGAUGAUUUUGUUUUCCACAUAUUUCAAUGUGAUGUAAGCAUACCUUCGUUUUAUCUGCCACCGUGAACAUGAAUUCUAUGAAUUUCUUGCUCACAUAGUUAACCAGAACUGUUUGCUCUGUAAUCUUUAUACUUCCUCCCAUCCCCAUUGUUUGUUUAUGAAGCAACAUGGAACUUAAUCCAACAGAGCAUUCUGUAAACGCAGCAUUGGUUUUUGUGUAGUCAACUGAUUGAUGGAAUUACUGAAGCUAAUAAUGUUCUCUAUAAUCCAAUUUUGAUUGCAGAUUUUGCAUUUUUUUUUCCCUGAAAGUUGGGAUACUUUGAAAAGUAAUAAUUUCUAAAUAAGCAGAUCUUUGAUAUGGAAAUGGAAAACAUUACAAGUUCUGGAAUGCAUUUCUUCUUAUUUGUAGUUCAAUGACAAAGCAGGAUGGUGGACUUGUUAUUUU
rnacentral:misc_RNA from 1 species